AUUCUUAGACAGAGCGGCGCACUAAAGAGUAUGUUGAAGUUUCCUUCUUACCUCCGUCGAGAUGCUCUCGGUGUUUGUCCUGGUAGACCCUCUGCUCGCCCUGCUGUCCCCGUCUGACCGCCUGGAACAACAACAACACCCGGACUCAGGACGAAGGUGAGCUUCCCAGCUGUUUCCUGGGAGAUCCAGAGUUUCUGAACGACGAAGGGACAACAGGACCAACAUGAGGCAAACACCAGGAAGGAACGCUGAGAACAAAUUGACGACUCUGAGCUGCCUCCAACUGCAGCUAAGGAGCUCCAGUCCGGACAGCAGAUGUUGCAGAGCUGCAGACGUCGUGGAAGACAUGGUGGCGUUGGGUUGAAGGGUCGUCCUGAUGCAGGAUGAGCUGCACCAGAGUAGGAAAGUAACUAUAGUAAAAAUUUUAAAAGCAAAAAGUUACUCAAGUAAAUUUUACUUGUAGAAAUGUUUUUAUUAAGCUCUACUCUUUCAUUUAACUUGAAUAAUUUAUUAUAAAGUAUUUCUGCUCUUUCUUGAGUCAAAUUUCAGAAUUUUCUUCCCACUGAAUGAAAAACAAACAUAUUUUAACCAGAAACCCUCCAGUCACAAAACUGCAGUUUCUGUGAAAGUGUCAGAAGUUUUUUAUUUAAAGAAACUGAUUUGGAAACAUUUUAGUUUGUCUGAUUUUCUUAAUUUUUGUUUCUUAUACGAUUUUUUGUAAUUUUGGUUCUUAAAGUACCAAAAUCUCAAGUCGACUUUACAUUUUGGUUUGUCUGAUGAUGUAAUUUUUAAAUAUUAAAUGAAUAAAUUAAAUAAUUUGGUCAGUUUCUCAGUACUUGAAUAGACUUUUUACCACAUACAUUUUUACUCUUCAGUAGUUUAUUGAACGAUGCCACGAUUGGCUCAAGGUCAUAACAAAAACAGGAGACCAUGCAGAGGUUAAAGUGCAGAAAAAGAAACAUUUAUUAACCAAAACUAUGAUGAAUUGAGAAAGUCAGUAUCAGUGGCUAAUGUAAAUGCUUGGAUUUGUUUCACGACAUUUUUCCUUUUGCUGGAGUAAAAAUAUGUUUAAUCGUUCUGCUCUUACUUGAGUUCAGUUUCUGAUUUCUCUGCCACCUCUGGCUGCAACAAUGCAAAAACACCAAAAUCUUACCAAGUUUUGGUUUAGUUUCUAGAGAAAAUAUCAUAGGGCUCGUCUCUUGGAAAAAGACUAAAUCAUCUUACCAGUAACAUUUCUGAAAUAUUAAUGUUAUUUUACAUUAUUUUAAUGAAAAGUAUUAGCGCCAC